GGGGGCGAAACGGAUUCGACGGGGAUAUAUAAGCUCGGGCUGCAAGUCGAGGUCUUCCCACCUCGUUAAUCAGGAAGAUAAUAAAUAUAGUCGCAGACGACUAUGCAUAUGCCGUGGCUGCAUAAAUAAGCCAUUGCUCCUCCGGUAACUCCCGCGUACCGGAAUCGAGCAUCAUCAGUGGGAUAGCUUACACGUUUCUCCAGUGGGCGCGAUAGCGAAACAAAACAGCGGAUAGUGCUGAAAACCUCUGGUUUCGGAGGGGUCGGGGCACGAUAAAUAACCCAUUCACGAAACUAAACUUGUAGAUGCCUGCAGGGGAGUAUUUCCGGACGCGGGUUCAACUCCCGCCGCCUCCACCA
rnacentral:tmRNA from 1 species